rnacentral:misc_RNA from 1 species
GUGAAUCAUCGAAUUUUUGAACGCAAAUUGCACUUUCUGGUAUUCCGGAGAGUAUGCCUGUUUGAGGGUCAGUAUAAAUAAAAUCCGUGGUGUUGCUUCUGUUCAUGCUAUCGGAAUUGGGUUAUCUUUAAUUUCAAUCAAGGUUUAAAGUUACCUAAUAUCGUUGUUAUCUCGUGUAUUUCAAGUUGUUCAUUAGGAUUUUUUUUUAUCCUUCUGUAUUAUGUUAAAUCUUCAUUAGGUUUGACCAUUAUCGUUUGUGGUUUUUGUACCUA